UUGAUUAGGAUUUGAUUUAGGAUUAAGAUUUGGUUACGGUUUGAUUUAAAGUUGGGAUUUGAUUAGGAUUUGAUUUAGGGUUUAGAAUUAGGAUUAGGAUUUAGUUAAGAUUUGAUUUAGAGUUAGGAUUUGGUUAGGGUUUGAUUUAAGAUUUAGGAUUUGGUUAGGGUUUGAUUUAGGAUUUAGGGAUUAGUUAGGGUUUGAUUUAGGAUUAGGAUUUGGUUUAGGAUUUAGAGAUUGAUUAGGGUUUGAUUUAGAAUUUAGGAUUUGAUUUAGGAUUUAGGAUUUAAGAUUUGGUGUAGGGUUUAAAGUUUAGUUAGGAUUUGAUCAAGAUUUUAUUUAGGGUUUAGGGUAUUAUUUGAAAUUAUUUAAGAUUUAAGUUUUAGUUAGUUUUUGGCCUAAAGUUUGAAUGAAGUAAGAUUUCAACUAAGAUUAUUUUAAGAUUGAAUUGGAAUAUAUUUGAAAUAUGUUUAUAAUUAUUCUAAUAUUUCUUUAAGAUUUCUUAUUGUUUCUUUGAAAUUUCUUUGAGGUUUCUCUGAAUUUGAUUAAAUCUUGUUUAGCAUUGUUAAUAUUUUAUUAGAAUUAAGAUUUUGUUGUUGCAAUUUCUAUUCUAUCUUCCACAGCCAAGUAUCUGGAGCAUUUUCAAGCAAGACUUCAUGCAUUACGAUACGGUCAAGAAAAUUAUUGGGACAUAUCGUCUCCAUUCGUGGUAUUG
rnacentral:lncRNA from 1 species